CUCAAUCGCGUCUCCUUCCUCAAAACGACGUAACAGAAGAGGCGACAGCGACGGCGACGGCGACGGCGGAGCUCAGUUAUGUCUCCACGUCCACAGCUUGAACCGGUCGGCGUUGUUCGGUGCUCCGUCGAAGAAGCUAAGCCGGUCCCGGUCCUGCGGCUUCCAGAAGUCGAGAUUCCGGUCCAUUAGACGAGCUUGCAGUGCCAACCUGGACGCCUUCUCAGACGAAGAGUUCUCAAAGAAGAUUCAAGAGCUUGCUCUCCGAUUCCAGCUCGCCGAUAAUUUUGACGGUGAAGAUGACCUUAACGAUGACGGAAACGAUUCGGAUUCGGAACCGGAGGCGGCGAAUUCUGAUGACAAUCACGGCGUCAGUAAGUCUGCAACGGGAAGUUUACUACGACAAUAUUCUAUACUAAAUGCAUGACAAUGCGUAUUGAAUUUGUCAUGUCGACAUUCCCAAUGUAUAAUCACAGGUUAAUAGGAUGCCAGCACAUAUUUAUGAGCAUGGAGGCUUGCAAUGCUCAUGGACUCUGUUGCGUGCCUUUAUAUGACACUCUAGGUUCUGGUGCUGUGGAAUUUAUCAUAUGCCAUGCUGAAGUUUCAAUUGCUUUUGCUGAAGAAAAGAAGAUACCUGAGCUGUUGAAAACAUUUCCUGGUGCGGCAAAAUAUCUGAAGACACUUGUGAGCUUUGGUAAUGUUACACCUGAACAAGAGGAAACACUUGGGCAGUAUGGAGUGACGUUAUAUUCAUGGAGUGAAUUUCUGCAAUUGGGAGAGAAUAAAGAGUAUGACCUUCCAGUAAAAAAAAAAAGAAAAAGAAAAGUGAUAUCUGCACUAUAAUGUAUACUAGUGGAACAACUGGUGACCCCAAGGGAGUACUGAUAUCCAAUGAAAGUAUCAUUACUCUUCUGGCUGGGGUGAAGCGUUUGCUAGAGAGUGUAAAUGAACAGCUCAGUGAGGAGGAUGUAUAUCUUUCAUUUCUUCCCCUGGCACAUAUCUUCGCUCGGGUGAUUGAGGAGUUAUUUAUCUGGACUGGCGCCCAAAUAGGGUUUUGGCGUGGGGAUGUCAAAUUAUUAACUGAAGACAUUGGGGAGUUAAAACCGACUAUCUUCUGUUCUGUUCCACGUGUGUUAGACAGAAUCUACGCAGGCUUGACACAGAAGAUUUCAUCAGGCGGCUUUCUGAAAAAGACCUUGUUCAAUGUUGCAUAUUCAUACAAGUAUCAUAACAUGCAAAAUGGCCAUGGGCAUGUACAUGCGUCUCCAAUUGCUGACAAAGUUGUGUUUAGUAAGGUAAAGCAAGGAUUGGGCGGUAGUGGUGGAGCUUCUUCCUCUGUACCUCCGCCAUGGUUGCUGCCUUUGAAUGAGAUUGACAAAACCAAAGUUUGUCAACUCACACCCAAAGGCCUUCUCUCCGUCCGUAACAAACAACAACGACGAAGAACUUCAAUAAACCGCCGUCAAACGACUAGCCGGUAGUGAAGCUCAAUGCCUUGCAUUCUACCUCAAGCUCCAGCUGCUUCUGCACCUCCGCCAUGGCUGCUGUUAUUUUUAAUGUGAUUGACAAAACCAAAGUUUGUCAACUCACACUCAAAGGCCUUCUCUCCGUCCGUAA
rnacentral:lncRNA from 1 species